CGUCCCGCAACGAGCGCAACCCUCGCCCCGUGUUGCCAGCGGAUUGUGCCGGGAACUCACGGGGGACCGCCGGGGUUAACUCGGAGGAAGGUGGGGAUGACGUCAGAUCAUCAUGCCCCUUACGUCCAGGGCUUCACGCAUGCUACAAUGGCCGGUACAACGGGAUGCGACAGCGCGAGCUGGAGCGGAUCCCUGAAAACCGGUCUCAGUUCGGAUCGCAGUCUGCAACUCGACUGCGUGAAGGCGGAGUCGCUAGUAAUCGCGAAUCAGCAACGUCGCGGUGAAUGCGUUCCCGGGCCUUGUACACACCGCCCGUCAAGUCAUGAAAGUGGGCAGCACCCGAAGCCGGUGGCCUA
rnacentral:rRNA from 1 species